rnacentral:rRNA from 1 species
CUANCAUGCAAGUCGAGCGAACUGAUUAGAAGCUUGCUUCUAUGACGUUAGCGGCGGACGGGUGAGUAACACGUGGGCAACCUGCCUGUAAGACUGGGAUAACUUCGGGAAACCGAAGCUAAUACCGGAUAGGAUCUUCUCCUUCAUGGGAGAUGAUUGAAAGAUGGUUUCGGCUAUCACUUACAGAUGGGCCCGCGGUGCAUUAGCUAGUUGGUGAGGUAACGGCUCACCAAGGCAACGAUGCAUAGCCGACCUGAGAGGGUGAUCGGCCACACUGGGACUGAGACACGGCCCAGACUCCUACGGGAGGCAGCAGUAGGGAAUCUUCCGCAAUGGACGAAAGUCUGACGGAGCAACGCCGCGUGAGUGAUGAAGGCUUUCGGGUCGUAAAACUCUGUUGUUAGGGAAGAACAAGUACAAGAGUAACUGCUUGUACCUUGACGGUACCUAACCAGAAAGCCACGGCUAACUACGUGCCAGCAGCCGCGGUAAUACGUAGGUGGCAAGCGUUAUCCGGAAUUAUUGGGCGUAAAGCGCGCGCAGGCGGUUUCUUAAGUCUGAUGUGAAAGCCCACGGCUCAACCGUGGAGGGUCAUUGGAAACUGGGGAACUUGAGUGCAGAAGAGAAAAGCGGAAUUCCAC